UGUAGUGUUAAGCAGUGCAAGCUUAUAAUCCGCAGGGCCUGCGUUCAAGCCCUGGUCAAAGCAACAUCGCAAAAAAAAUAGAGAAAAGGAUUUUUCUUAA